GACUGGUGUCAGAGUAGGAGGAAUCUUGGGA
rnacentral:piRNA from 1 species